rnacentral:rRNA from 1 species
ACGGGUGAGUAACACGUGGGUGAUCUGCCCUGCACUUCGGGAUAAGCCUGGGAAACUGGGUCUAAUACCGGAUAUGACCUCCUAUCGCAUGGUGGGUGGUGGAAAGAUUUAUCGGUGCAGGAUGGGCCCGCGGCCUAUCAGCUUGUUGGUGGGGUAAUGGCCUACCAAGGCGACGACGGGUAGCCGACCUGAGAGGGUGACCGGCCACACUGGGACUGAGACACGGCCCAGGCUCCUACGGGAGGCAGCAGUGGGGAAUAUUGCACAAUGGGCGAAAGCCUGAUGCAGCGACGCCGCGUGAGGGAUGACGGCCUUCGGGUUGUAAACCUCUUUCAGCAGGGACGAAGCGCAAGUGACGGUACCUGCAGAAGAAGCACCGGCUAACUACGUGCCAGCAGCCGCGGUAAUACGUAGGGUGCAAGCGUUGUCCGGAAUUACUGGGCGUAAAGAGUUCGUAGGCGGUUUGUCGCGUCGUUUGUGAAAACCAGCAGCUCAACUGCUGGCUUGCAGGCGAUACGGGCAGACUUGAGUACUGCAGGGGAGACUGGAAUUCCUGGUGUAGCGGUGAAAUGCGCAGA